CUACGUGCCAGCAGCCGCGGUAAUACGGAAGGUCCGGGCGUUAUCCGGAUUUAUUGGGUUUAAAGGGAGCGUAGGCUGGAGAUUAAGUGUGUUGUGAAAUGUAGACGCUCAACGUCUGACUUGCAGCGCAUACUGGUUUCCUUGAGUACGCACAACGUUGGCGGAAUUCGUCGUGUAGCGGUGAAAUGCUUAGAUAUGACGAAGAACUCCGAUUGCGAAGGCAGCUGACGGGAGCGCAACUGACGCUGAAGCUCGAAGGUGCGGGUAUCGAACAGGAUUAGAUACCCUGGUAGUCCGCACAGUAAACGAUGGAUGCCCGCUGUUGGUACUUGGUAUCAGCGGCUAAGCGAAAGCAUUAAGCAUCCCACCUGGGGAGUACGCCGGCAACGGUGAAACUCAAAGGAAUUGACGGGGGCCCGCACAAGCGGAGGAACAUGUGGUUUAAUUCGAUGAUACGCGAGGAACCUUACCCGGGCUUGAAUUGCAGUCGCUGCCCACAGAGA
rnacentral:rRNA from 1 species